rnacentral:rRNA from 1 species
UACGGAGGGUGCAAGCGUUGUUCGGAAUUACUGGGCGUAAAGAGUGUGUAGGCGGGGGGACAAGUCUGAUGUGAAAGCCCUGGGCUUAACCUGGGAAGCGCAUUGGAAACUGUUUUUCUUGAGUACUGGAGAGGAAGGGGGAAUUCCCGGUGUAGAGGUGAAAUUCGUAGAGAUCGGGAGGAAUACCAGUGGCGUAGGCGCCCUUCUGGACGGUAACUGACGCUGAGACGCGAAAGCGUGGGGAGCAAACAGG